UGGGUAGCUCAGUUGGUUAGAGCAUUGUCCUGAUAUGCCAAGGACAAUGUGGGUUCAAUCCCCAUCAUCCCAU
rfam:Myotis brandtii contig264145, whole genome shotgun sequence.